rnacentral:rRNA from 1 species
CCUACGGGUGGCAGCAGUGAGGAAUAUUGGUCAAUGGACGCAAGUCUGAACCAGCCAAGCCGCGUGCAGGAAGACGGCUCUAUGAGUUGUAAACUGCUUUUGUACGGGGGUAAACUCAGAUACGAGUAUCUGUAUGAAAGUAGCGUACGAAUAAGGAUCGGCUAACUCCGUGCCAGCAGCCGCGGUAAUACGGAGGAUUCAAGCGUUAUCCGGAUUUAUUGGGUGUAAAGGGCGCGUAGGCGGUCGGGUAAGUUAGUGGUGAAAUCUCGAGGCUCAACCUCGGAAGUGCCUAUGAUACUGGUCGGCUAGAGAGCAGGUGCGGUAGGCGGAAUGUGUGGUGUAGCGGUGAAAUGCUGAGAGAUCAUGAAGAACACCGAUUGCGAAGGCAGCUUACCAAACUGUUACUGACGUUGAGGCACGAAAGCGUGGGGAGCAAACAGGAUUAGAUACCCCAGUAGUC